CACGCCGUAAACGAUGAGUGCUAGGUGUUAGGCCCUUUCCGGGGCUUAGUGCCGCAGCUAACGCAUUAAGCACUCCGCCUGGGGAGUACGACCGCAAGGUUGAAACUCAAAGGAAUUGAC
rnacentral:rRNA from 1 species